UUUCAGAAGAACAUUGAGGACGACAAACACUGGUGGAACGAUGAAAAAUCACGGGUGCACAAGAGAUGUCUCUCCUCCAAAGCUCACAGGCUCGAAGAGCUGACUACAUGCAGCUAAGAGGAGGUCCCUAGAUGCUCCCUGUAAAGAAGGCAUGAUUGACAG